GAUUUUUAUACCAUUUCCCAACUUGAAAGAUGUACUAUUUUGGAAAGCAUCUAGAUCCCCGUAGAUAUCCUUCCAAAUGGGUCAAAUGGGUGAAGCCUUAUGAGGUCUGCAUCUCACUCUUAUUCUGAAUCUGCACCUCGAAGAGUAAGCAAAAUCAGUCUAUCUCCGCUAUAAAACCGAGCCACCAUUGUCAAUAGGAUCUGAGUUCUUCAACAUCUUCCAAGCCCAUUUUGAUAGAAAUGAAAGAUUCAAAUAACUAAAAAUUUUUACUCCUUGCCCUCCUUCCUCUUUAUCUCUGCAUGCUGUGUCCCAAUUG
rnacentral:lncRNA from 1 species